rnacentral:rRNA from 1 species
UUGCCUACGGGGGGCAGCAGUCGGGAAUAUUGCGCAAUGGAGGAAACUCUGACGCAGUGACGCCGCGUAUAGGAAGAAGUUUUUCGGAAUGUAAACUAUUGUCGUUAGGGAAGAGAAAGGACGGUACCUAAGGAGGAAGCCCCGGCUAACUAUGUGCCAGCAGCCGCGGUAAUACAUAGGGGGCAAGCGUUAUCCGGAAUUAUUGGGUGUAAAGGGUGCGUAGACGGGAAAUUAAGUUAGUUGUGAAAUACCUUGGCUCAACUAAGGAACUGCAACUAAAACUGGUUUUCUUGAGUACUGGAGAG